rnacentral:rRNA from 1 species
GACGAACGCUGGCGGCGCGCUUAACACAUGCAAGUCGAACGGAAAGGCCUGCUUUCCCUUGUGGAUUGCGGGUACUCGAGUGGCGAACGGGUGAGUAACACGUGAGUGAUCUGCCCCCAACUUGGGUAUAAGCCUGGGAAACUGGGUCUAAUUCCCGAUAGGACUGCAGGGUGGUGCCUGUGGUGGAACACGAUUUUCUAGUGGUUGGGGAUGAGCUCGCGGCCGAUGAGCUUGUUGGUGGGGUAAUGGCCUACCAAGGCGGCGACGGGUAGCCGGCCUGGGAGGGGGGACGGGCACAGUGGGACUGGGAUACGGCGCAGACUGCUACGGGAGGCAGCAGUGGGGAAGAUAGCAGAAGGGGCGGAAGCCUGAUGCGGCGACGCCGCGUGGAGGAUGACGGCCUUCGGGAUGUAGACUCCUUUCGACCGCGAGGAAGCCACCUGGUUGGAAGGGUGGUGACGGUAGUGGUAGAAGAAGCACCGGCUAACUACGUG